GUGAGGAGAAAUUGAGAAAUGAUUGAGGAGGUGUCAACCAGUAACAGGGAAGCAACGUGGAGGUUGCAGACGGCGCACGUUUCUUUUCUUUUUUUUUUCAACUUCUACACGCUUCUCUGCUCCUCUUUGGGCUCUCUCCGUCUCUCUUUGGGCCAUGUGAAUGAUUUAGGAAGAGACUAGAGAGUGUAUUCAAGCUGAGCUUGUAUCAUCAUCAUCUACAGGAGAAGAUGGAAAAAAAAGCAAAGCUACAAGAUGGGUUUCAGAUUUGAGUGAUCUGUUGGGGGGAGCUAAAGAACAUGGAAGUUGACAUGUGAAGUGACAGAGAAAAACAAUCUUCAUCAUGAUGUUGAAGAAUUCAACUUCAAGUGCAACCAAAACAGCAGCUGCCAGCUGGGAAGUGGAUGAACAGAGUUAUACAUGUUCAUCACAGACCCUCUUUUGUUUUAAUCUUCUGUGAAUCUUGUUGCUUAAACUCAAAACGCUUCUUAUUAUGGAAAACCUAAACUUUAUUUGUAUACAACACAAGCAACCAUAUUGUUGUUGUUCUUCUGUAUCAUACAGAUUUGUCUCCUGACAAUUCAUAGAUAAUGUGUAUGAAUCUAUAACCUAACAGCAUCAGAGCUAAAGGUAGACAUACACUACAGAAAAAUUGAGAACAUGUGAGAUUUAUUAGUAAGAAGAAUUAACACAAAGACUCUUUUUAUCUCAGCUCUAAUACAAAAUUAUUCUCUGAUCCUCUCUUCACUCAAUAAAGGGUCUGAAGCCAUCAAGACACAAAUAUUACAUGAGAAUCACACAAAGCAAUGUCUCAUAGUUGGGAAAAGAACUAAGAAACAUGACCAAUAACAAUAACAAAUAGCUUUGGAGUGUAUU